rnacentral:lncRNA from 1 species
CUGCACUUGUGUUAGUAGGAGAUGAGGUGGAAUUUGUCCUCGGUGGCUUUGCGGCACUGACAGGACAGACAGACACGGGUGGGGACGUGUGGCCUUUAACAUCCUUCUGAACUGACACUUCUUCUGGUUUGCUCUCUGGCUGAACGGCACUUAACACCACAGCUUCGGUCUGACCCGAUGGACUCACGCUCGUCACAGGCUGCUGGACAACACUGGGCGUCUGUUCCUCCUGAGCAGGAGCCGGACAGCUGAGCAGCAAAUCUUUGCUUUCCUUUUCUUUGCUGAUUCCCUUGACUACAUCAGACAUCCUGCUCUCCAGCACAGGCUCUCCUGGUAUUUUUGCUGUACUACCAGGCAAAGGUGGGAAAUUUGAUGCUAGCAAAUCAAACUUUGGUGUCUGAGUCUUUGUUUCUGUUGAAGGCUGAGGUCUUGAAAUCCGGUCAUCUUCUCGUCUCCUCCGACCUCUGAAGAUGUUCCUCCUGCCCCUGCCAAUGCCGUAAUCUCCGUUCUGCUCCAUCUGCAUGGUAGAAGAAUCCUUCUGGGAAUAGCCUUGCUCUUGGUGCCCCG